rnacentral:rRNA from 1 species
GGAAGAGAUGUAUUUAUUAGAUAAAAAAUCAAUGUCUUCGGACUCUUUGAUGAUUCAUAAUAACUUUUCGAAUCGCAUGGCCUUGUGCUGGCGAUGGUUCAUUCAAAUUUCUGCCCUAUUUACUUUCGAUGGUAGGAUAGUGGCCUACCAUGGUUUCAACGGGUAACGGGGAAUAAGGGUUCGAUUCCGGAGAGGGAGCCUGAGAAACGGCUACCACAUCCAAGGAAGGCAGCAGGCGCGCAAAUUACGGAAUCCUAAUUCAGGGAGGUAGUGACAAUAAAUAACGAUACAGGGCCCAUUCGGGUCUUGUAAUUGGAAUGUAUACAAUGUAAAUACCUUAACGAGGAACAAUUGGAGGGCAAGUCUGGUGCCAGCAGCCGCGGUAAUUCCAGCUCCAAUAGCGUAUAUUAAAGUUGUUGCAGUUAAAAAGCUCGUAGUUGAACUUUGGGCCCGGUUGGCCGGUCCGAUUUUUUCGUGUACUGGAUUUCCAACGGGGCCUUUCCUUCUGGCUAACCUUGAGUCCUUGUGGCUCUUGGCGAACCAGGACUUUUAC